rnacentral:rRNA from 1 species
AUUGAACGCUGGCGGCAGGCCUAACACAUGCAAGUCGCGCGGAGCGGCGGACGGGUGAGUAUUGCCUAGGAAUCAGCCUGGUAGUGGGGGAUAACGUCAGGAACCGGGCGCUAAUACCGCAUACUAUCACCUGAGCCUAGGUCGGAUUAGCUAGUUGGUGGGGUAAAGGCCUCCCAAGGCGACGAUCCGUAACCGGUCAGAGCGGAUGAUCAGUCACACUGGAACUGCUACACGGCCCAAACGCCUUCGGGAGGAAGCAGUAGGGAAUAUUGGACAAGGGGCGAAAGCCUGAUCCAGCCAUGCCGCGUGUGUGAAGAAGGUUUUCGGAUUGUAAAGCACUUUAAGUUGGGAGGCGUUACCAACAGAAUGAGCACCGGCUAACUUCGUGCCAGCAGCUGCGGUAAUUG